ensembl:lncRNA
CAGGACCGCUUCUGCUCCUCGCCUCCUCUCCCGUCCCUUCCACGUUUCUGGGAGAAGCAUGCCUCACUGGCGUCUACUGUCACUCGGACUCCAGGAGAAGGGCAUGUUUAUGCCCCACAAGAAACGAGUGCUUUCUAACCGCGCAGGUGCCCCCUGACGAUUCCCUUUCCUGUCUGCUUCACGCCACCCUCUGCCCUCCAGCAGCGUCUCACACCCGCCCCGCGUCCCUGAGUUAACCCAGCUGCGCCCGGGCUGCAGGGGGCGGGGUGCUGUCUGGCGUGGAGAGCGGGCGCGGCUUGAGGCCCAGGGUGGCCCCCGGGAGGGCACCUCCGGGGACACAGGCUGGCAUCGUCGGGAGCCGACUGGACUCCAGCUCCUGCGAGAAGCCGCGAAGACCACACCCGGGCAGAGAGGCUUCGCGGGCUCAGUAAUCAGGUAGAGAUGUGAGAGCUGGACCGUAAAGGCUGAGGGUCGAAGAACUGAUGCUUUUGAACUGUGGUUGUGGAGAAGACUCUUGAGAGUCCCUUGGACUGCAAGGAGAUCCAACCAGUCAGUCCUAAAGGAAAUCAACCCUGAAUAUUCAUUGGAAGGACUGAUGCAGAAGCUGAAGCUCCAGUACUUUGGCCACCUGAUGUGAAGAGCCGACUGAUUAGAAAAGACCCUGAUGCUGGGGAAGGUUGAGGCAGGAGGAGGGGCGACAGAGGGCGAGACGGUGGGAUGGCAUCACUGCCUCCAUGGACAUGAGUUUGAGCAAGUUCCAGGAGGUGGUGAAGGACAGGGGAGCCUGGCGUGCUGCAGUCCACGGGGUCACAAAGAGUGGGAGACGACUGAGCGACUGAACACCACCACCUCCCUUGAGGAAUCCAGGUCCCAGUGCCCUAGACCCCUGGAUCACAGCACCCACCCCAACCUGACUUACCUGCUCUGGGCUGCUUUCCUGCUGAGGGACUCUGUAACCUCAAACUACCCACUUUUCCCCACCUCCUGACCCAACUUCCAUUUCCUCAGUGAUUGAUAAUCAGAUGAGAGCUGGAAGAGAAGCAAACUGAGCAGGGGGAUGCUUACUAGCAGCCGAAUGACUGAAACUCUCUAAGCCCCUCACUGCACUCUCGUGUUAAAAUGAGCUGCUCGUGAGAGCCAUCGUGGGCAGGAAGGUAAAGGAGUGGAAACUUGGGGUUAAGGACUCAGAAUCUUCACACUGACGCGCCUCUCAUGAGUGACUGACGCUGGCAGCGGUUAGGAAAUGACCCUUUCUUGGGAAGAACACGGUUGCAGGUUCAGACACCCGGGGAUCUCCCCCCAGUGAAUCAGCGGGUUCUCUGCCAGUUCACGGCCGUGAAACCUCAGUGAAUAAGCCACUUUUAUGCACACAGAACCCUCGACCAGCUUUCUGUGCCUAAGAUAACAUCUCAACAGACAGCCAAGGACCACCAGCUGUUUGUGGAACAUUCGAACAUCAAAGCAAAAGACCCGAGUACCGGAAACAGCAAAACAAAACUUCAAAAGUAGCGUAGUUAGUCUCUGUAGAGAGAUAAGAGGCAACCUUUUACCCCUGAAGGGAGAGAAGGUGCAAAAUAAACAAUCAGAAGGAGAAAGGGCUUCGGGCUCUUGAAGAGUAGAAUGUCUGAAAAUACCUAUUCAGAAGAAAGGACAGUGGAUGAGAACGUCAGAAAAUUGUACAGAAAGACAGAUGGGAAAAUAGGAA